rnacentral:rRNA from 1 species
AUUGAACGCUGGCGGAAUGCUUUACACAUGCAAGUCGAGCGGCAGCGCGGCCUUCGGGCUGGCGGCGAGCGGCGAACGGGUGAGUAAUGCAUCGGAACAUGCCCAGUCGUGGGGGAUAACACUUCGAAAGAAGUGCUAAUACCGCAUACGUCCUGAGGGGGAAAGCGGGGGAUCGCAAGACCUCGCGCGAUUGGAGUGGCCGAUGUCAGAUUAGCUAGUUGGUGGGGUAAAGGCCUACCAAGGCGACGAUCUGUAGCUGGUCUGAGAGGAUGAUCAGCCACACUGGGACUGAGACACGGCCCAGACUCCUACGGGAGGCAGCAGUGGGGAAUUUUGGACAAUGGGGGCAAGCCUGAUCCAGCCAUUCCGCGUGAGUGAAGAAGGCCUUCGGGUUGUAAAGCUCUUUCGGCAGGAACGAAACGGUGGGCUCUAACAUAGUCCGCUAAUGACGGUACCUGAAGAAGAAGCACCGGCUAACUACGUG